CUACGGGGUGCAGCAGUUUCGAAUAAUUCACAAUGGGCGCAAGCCUGAUGAUGCGACGUUACGUGAAGGAAGAAAGCUUUAAGUUGUAAACUUCUGUCGUUAAGGAACAAAAAAUUAAGUAGUACUUUUUAUAUUGAGUUAACUUAAAAAGGAAGCAGUGGCUAAUUUCGUGCCAGCAGCCGCGGUAAUACGGGAACUGCAGGCGUUGCUCGGUUUUAUUGGGCGUAAAGAGUACGUAGGCUGUUAUAUAUGUUAAUUGUUAAAUUUUAAAGUUAAUCUUUAAAUUUGCUGUUAAAACUAUAUAACUAGAAUUUCAAAGAGGUAAGUGGAAGUUCAAGUGUAGCGGUGAAAUGCGUAGAUAUUUGAAGGAACACCAAUGGCGAAAGCAACUUACUGGGUGAUAAUUGACGCUAAAGUACGAAAGUAUAGGGAGCAAAAGGGGUUAGAUACCCCGAGUAGUC
rnacentral:rRNA from 1 species